GGCCGGCUGGCGCAAUGGCUAGCGCGUCGACCUUCUAUUUUCGUUGCCACCCCGUUACGGUGAUAUGAAGUCGAAGGCUGCGGGUUCGAGUCCCGCGUUGGCCU